rnacentral:rRNA from 1 species
GGGGAAUCUUAGACAAUGGGGGCAACCCUGAUCUAGCCAUGCCGCGUGAGUGAUGAAGGCCUUAGGGUUGUAAAGCUCUUUCAGCUGUGAAGAUAAUGACGGUAGCAGCAGAAGAAGUCCCGGCUAACUCCGUGCCAGCAGCCGCGGUAAUACGGAGGGGAUUAGCGUUGUUCGGAAUUACUGGGCGUAAAGCGCACGUAGGCGGAUCAGAAAGUUGGGGGUGAAAUCCCGGGGCUCAACCCCGGAACUGCCUUCAAAACUAUUGGUCUGGAGUUCGAGAGAGGUGAGUGGAAUUCCGAGUGUAGAGGUGAAAUUCGUAGAUAUUCGGAGGAACACCAGUGGCGAAGGCGGCUCACUGGCUCGAUACUGACGCUGAGGUGCGAAAGCGUGGGGAGCAAAC